AUGAGGCAUUUCAGUUUGAUUUUUAAAAGAAUCAGGGACUUCGGAAAAAAUGUGAAUGCAAGUAUGAUAUGGAAAAAAUCAUCUAGGAAAAAAUACUCAGGACCCAUGAAGAGAUUGCAUUCACCACAAAAGCACCACCCUAGGCAAAUAGCCCUAAUACAGUUAGCACAGUAUAAUGUUGAUCUUUUCUGUUUUCCAGAAAGCGGACAUAGUACAAGGACCCCAGAGGAAUCAAGGUACCACAGUAGAAGCCUGCUAUGGAAGUUCUAAGAAGGAAGAAAUUAUGGUAUUGAAGAGAAAUCAGUGAAAACACAGGUUUGAAGAUUGAUAAAAUGGAUGUAACAGGAGGUAUGUGGUGGGACCAUUGGAAAGGUUUCAGAGAAAGACAAGACAAGGAGAAGUGGAGCUGGUAAACUGAGAACUAGGUCAAGGAUCUCCCUGUUGUUAAAGAGCAGGUUUAAGGAGGGGAGGCAGAACAGGAGAGGAGGGAAGUAGGAGACCCCAAUGGAGUUCAUCAUUUGAACCUAUCAUUUGGUGGGAAACUAACUGUGCAUCCCAAGGGAAGAAGACAAAGCCAACACAUAAAAAAAUGAGUGGAAAUAUAUUUUUCAUGUAGCAUGGCUUCUGAAAAUAAGCCAAGCAUCUCCUAUAUUUCUCAGCUGAAAAACAGCCACUUAGUCCAAUGUCAGGACAAGUGGCUGUUUUGAGUGUGUUGAACUUACUGAAAUAAGUCAUAAUACACUUAAAAUGAUCAACAUUCUUUUUUAUGGGUGACUUGCCAUAAUCCCUUGACAGGAUUAUUCAAGGGAAAAUUUGACAAUUAUUUUUUUAAAUUUAAACACUAGGUUUAUUGUAGUUUCACAUCUUUAUGAUCAAUUUGACAAUUCCUAAUGCUUGGAGUUUGGACUGGCUUUAGAACAUAACUUCCCUCUAAGAUGUGAUCCAUGGAUGAUCUAGUGAUCUGGGUGAGGAGGGUGGAAUUCAGAGUUUGAGAUCUUAGAGUCUUUAGCAGUAAAGAAUAAGGUGACUUUCGUAUUUACAGAUUCCAAAAUAAUGGUGGAGGUUUCAUAUUUAGAUUUCCCACUGUGUACUGGUCAUUAUGUUACUUGCUGGGAUUUCAGAGAUGAAUGAGACACUGUGUCCUUCAGACAAGGAGUUUUACAGGGGAUAUGCAGAAGAAGAACUCCUGAUUGGGGGUGGGGGUGUAUUGUCACGGUAUAAACCAUCACGUGACACCGGGGAUGUUUCAGGAGCAGGCUAGCUUAGCUGGAACAGUAGGUUUGCAUAAGAUGUUAAUUAAAUACAAAUCUGAAAGAGGUUUGUGGGUGCCGGGAUGCAUGGAGAAGCCACUGAAUUCUUUGGAUCAAGGAAGCAACAUAAUAAAAGCUGUAAUACAGGAAAAUUUCUCUCUUAU
rnacentral:lncRNA from 12 species